UUUCCAGAGUGGCGGAACCUCGCCCGAGGGUGCCCACCUCCUCCCUGCGCAACUUUCCUGGCUCCCCUUCUCCUGAGCCCUGAAACUUCGCCGGAGAGCGUUUUUAAUAAAUCUUGCCUUGCACCCACUUUGCCUGGUGUUGUGUUUAUCUCGCCGGAAAAAACUUUACAUUUGGUGCCGAAACCCGGGAAGGAGAUUGAGCCCCCACACAGUGGGGAGGCUCUCUCCUUUCCCUGGCUGAACCGGACCUGCCUUUCCGAACGCCACUUCCGAAGCUGUGGCUGGAUCGAAGCAUACCUCAUCGCCCAGGAAACAGCAGACGUAGUGGCUACAAUACUCAUCGAGCGCAUCAUCCCGAGGUUCGGAUUGCCCCAGACCCUCCAGUCGGACAACGGACCUGCCUUCAUCUCCAGUGUAACCCAACAGGUAGCUGAGAGCCUCAACAUAACCUGGAAACUUCACAUCCCAUACCACCCACAGUCAUCGGUAAGGUAGAAAAGGCCAACAGGCUGCUCAAAGCCCAACUCACCAAAUCUACCCUAGAAACCCGUCUUUCCUGGCCUACACUUCUGCCUAUGGCUCUCACCAGACUCCUGGCUACGCCCCGCGGGUCUUCAGGCUUAAGCCCAUUUGAAUUACUAUACGUCCGGCCCUUUCUUAGAAAUCACAGCCCUCCAGCCAUUUCCCCGCCUCUUUUAUCCUAUCUACCUUACCUCACUCCUUGCCCUAGGGAUACCCCUCCCUAUUGACUGGCCACUCCCCAACUUCAGGGCCACAAAUAAUAGGGUCCAUAUGGGCCCCAUCGGGGGAAACAUACAUAUUAUUAAUGUGUCCUCCCUUACCACCGCAGCUGCCAUAUCACUAAUUCCUCCCUCCUGUACUGUACUCCCUCGGGAAUAUUUCUCUUGUGCCCUCAGGGAAUCUAUCGCUGCCUGACCACUAAUGACUCCCUGGGCUGUAUAUUCAUUCUACUAUCUCCUACCACCAUCUACUCUGAAUCCCAGCUGCUGUCCAUCCUAUUUCCCCAACACCAUGGAGGAAGGGCUGCCCACCUCCCAUUCAUAACAGGGGCAGGAAUAGCCACAGGGGUGGCAACUGGAAUAGCGGGGAUAGGAACCUCCAUAGACUUUUUCUUACAAACUCUCCCAAGCCCUGAAUGAUGACACGGAACGGGUUGCUGACUCCCUCACAGCCCUACAGACGCAAGUCACCAGCCUGGCAGCCUUAGCUCUACAGAACCGACGGGCCUUAGACCUUCUGACCACCGAAAAAGGGGGGACCUGCCUAUUAUUAAAUGAAGAAUGUUGUUACUUUGUUAACCAAUCAUAUAGUUACCUCCAGGAUCAAAGAACUCAGGGAUCGGAUCCAAGCACAGUGGCGAGACACAUCCUCCUGGGGCCUGGACCCCUACAACUGGGUAACCUGGCUGCUCCCUCUGGCGGGACCUGUAAGCAUAAUCCUCCUCCUAAUCUCAGUUGCUCCCUGUCUUUUCCGGUACUUGCAGGGUCGCCUACAAGAACUUGCCUGAGUAUCUG